rnacentral:lncRNA from 1 species
CUUAAGCAGGCAUCGCGUGGUCCCGUGAGCUGCGGUGUGAUCGCCGCUGCCGGGAGCUGUAGGGGGAGCGCAGGCGAGCUCAGCAACCGCGCCAUGUGAUCUCAGCGCCCUGGAAGUGGUGGUCUAAAUGUCCUGACUAACUGUGCAUCUCCGAGUUUGCUGCGGAGGGGCUUCUCUACCUCAGACGGGGAGGAGCAGUUGUUUGUCUGCCAGGAACUUUCAGGGAGGACUAACUGAGGUGAGAAGACCCUGUCACCGUCGUAGAGUAGGUGGCACUUUGAGAAGUCCAAAGAAGGAGCAGCGUUCCUUCCCUGCUUGCCUGACUUCUUGCUGGUGAGUGCAUCUGUCUUGCCACCGCUGCCACCGCCACCGCGUCAUCCUUCCCUGACACUGGAGUCAGCUUCUUG